GAUGAACGCUAGCGGGAGGCUUAACACAUGCAAGCCGAGGGGUAUAUUAUUUUCGGAUAAUAGAGACCGGCGGACGGGUGCGUAACGCGUAUGCAAUCUACCUUUAUCACUGGGAUAGCUUUCGGAAACGGAAAUUAAUACUGGAUAACAUUACAACUGGCAUCGGUUGUAGUUAAAAGAUUUAUCGGAUAGAGAUGAGCAUGCGUCAGAUUAGUUAGUUGGUAAGGUAACGGCUUACCAAGGCGAUGAUCUGUAGGGGUUCUGAGAGGAUUAUCCCCCACACUGGUACUGAGACACGGACCAGACUCCUACGGGAGGCAGCAGUGAGGAAUAUUGGACAAUGGGUUAGCGCCUGAUCCAGCCAUCCCGCGUGCAGGAAGACGGCCUUAUGGGUUGUAAACUGCUUUUAUACAGGAAUAAAUGUAGGUACGUGUACUUAUUUGAAUGUACUGUAAGAAUAAGCACCGGCUAACUCCG
rnacentral:rRNA from 1 species